rnacentral:rRNA from 2 species
UUUCCAGAGAUGGAUUGGUGCCUUCGGGAACUGUGAGACAGGUGCUGCAUGGCUGUCGUCAGCUCGUGUUGUGAAAUGUUGGGUUAAGUCCCGCAACGAGCGCAACCCUUAUCCUUUGUUGCCAGCGGUUAGGCCGGGAACUCAAAGGAGACUGCCAGUGAUAAACUGGAGGAAGGUGGGGAUGACGUCAAGUCAUCAUGGCCCUUACGACCAGGGCUACACACGUGCUACAAUGGCGCAUACAAAGAGAAGCGACCUCGCGAGAGCAAGCGGACCUCAUAAAGUGCGUCGUAGUCCGGAUUGGAGUCUGCAACUCGACUCCAUGAAGUCGGAAUCGCUAGUAAUCGUGGAUCAGAAUGCCACGGUGAAUACGUUCCCGGGCCUUGUACACACCGCCCGUCACACCAUGGGAGUGGGUUGCAAAAGAAGUAGGUAGCUUAACCUUCGGGAGGGCGCUUACCACUUUGUGAUUCAUGACUGGGGUGAAGUCGUAACAAGGUAACCGUAGGGGAACCUGCGGUUGGAUCACCUCCUUACCUUAAAGAA